AUUGAACGCUGGCGGCAUGCCUUACACAUGCAAGUCGAACGGCAGCACGGGAGCAAUCCUGGUGGCGAGUGGCGAACGGGUGAGUAAUGCAUCGGAACGUGCCAUUGAGUGGGGGAUAACGUAGCGAAAGUUACGCUAAUACCGCAUAUUCUGUGCGCAGGAAAGCAGGGGAUCGCAAGGCCUCACGCUCACGGAGCGGCCGAUGUCGGAUUAGCUAGUUGGUGGGGUAAAGGCUUACCAAGGCGACGAUCCGUAGCUGGUCUGAGAGGAUGAUCAGCCACACUGGGACUGAGACACGGCCCAGACUCCUACGGGAGGCAGCAGUGGGGAAUUUUGGACAAUGGGGGCAACCCUGAUCCAGCCAUGCCGCGUGCGGGAAGAAGG
rnacentral:rRNA from 1 species